UUUUUCAGAAUAAAGCAAUUACUACCCGUGUGAGAAAUUUGUCAGAUACAGUAGUUGGUCUGGAAUCUUUUAUUGGUUCAGAGAGAGAGACCAACCCAUUGUAUAAGGAUUAUCAUGGUCUAAUCCAUAUACGGAAGAUUCCUCGGCUUAAUAACUUGACUUGUGAUGAAUCGGAUGUCAAAGACUUAGCUUUUAAGUUAAAAAGGAAGCUGUUCACCAUUGAGCGACUGCAUCUGCCUCCAGACUUGUCAGACACAGUGGGCCGUUCAAGCAGACAGGACCUGGCACCAUCCACCACUCUGCUGGGCACAGGCUGUAGCGGGAUGACCGGAGGCAAGAAGCGCCUGGACUUCUAGGGACGCUCCUUGGCCACCUUGUGCGAAGUUAUCUGACCCUCUAAUCUUUGAGAAACACAGGGUUACAAAGUAGAGUCACCAUUCUUCAGUUUGGGUUGUUUCAUUAUUUGUUUUUUUCUACUAGCUUCUGUACAAAAAUAAAUAUGGCAGAAAUGCUGUCAUUUGACAUUUAGCUGCUGUUAUGUUUUUUUAAAUACUAAUUAAUUUUUAAAUAAACACCAAAAAAUACCUAAAA
rnacentral:lncRNA from 1 species